rnacentral:rRNA from 1 species
ACGGUACCGCUAGAGAAAGCACCGGCUAACUUCGUGCCAGCAGCCGCGGUAAUACGAAGGGUGCAAACGUUAUUCGGAUUAAUUGGGCGUAAAGGGUACGCAGGCGAUUUGUUAAGUCAACUGUUAAAUCUCCCGGCCUAACUGGGAACCAGCAGUAGAUACUGAUGAACUAGAGAAUGGAAGAGAGAAGUGGAAUUCUUGGAGUAGAGGUAAAAUUCGUAGAUCUCAAGAGGAACACCGAUGGCGAAGGCAGCUUCUUGGUCCAUAUCUGACGCUCAGGUACGAAAGCGUGGGGAGCAAACAGGAUUAGAUACCCUGGUAGUCCACGCUGUAAACGAUGAUCACUAGACGUUGGUUCUUCUCUGAAGAAUUGGUGUCGUAGCUAACGCGUUAAGUGAUCCGCCUGGGGAUUACGAUCGCAAGAUUAAAACUCAAAGGAAUUGACGGGGAUCCGCACAAGCGGUGGAACAUGUGGUUUAAUUCGUCACUACGCGAGGAACCUUACCUAGGUUUGACAUGUAUAUGACAGCUCUAGAGAUAGAGUCUUCUUUGGGAAACC